UACGUAGGGGGCAAGCGUUGUCCGGAUUUAUUGGGCGUAAAACGCUCGUAGGUGGCCACGUAAAGUCGGAUGUGAAAUCUCCCGGCUCAACUGGGAGGGGUCAUUCGAUACUGGCGGGCUCGAGGCCGGUAGGGGGAAGCGGAAUUCCGGGUGUAGUGGUGGAAUGCGUAGAUAUCCGGAGGAACACCAGUGGCGAAGGCGGCGUCCUGGACCGGUUCUGACACGGAGGAGCGAAAGCGUGGGGAGCGAUCCGG
rnacentral:rRNA from 1 species